rnacentral:piRNA from 1 species
UUCAAUGGAUGUGACGAUUAUGUCAAACUG